UCUUCCUUACAGAAACGGAAAUUGAGAGAUAGGCCAAAGAAGACAAGAGAGCAAGAGAGAAUGGGGGAGGAGAGGGAGGAGAGGGAGACUUGGCCGUUAGAGAAGAGGAGAAAGAAAUUUUAAAUGAGAGAGACUGUACAUGUAGGGUUUUUAUUAGAAUUUUUUUUUUUUGAAAUCUUGCUUAAUUGGAUUUAGAGAAUUUUGUGUAUUCGGUUCACCGACUCGUAUUAGCUGUCCAUUGGUCCAUUGUUUUGUCAUUUUUUUUC
rnacentral:lncRNA from 1 species